rnacentral:rRNA from 1 species
AGCGAACGCUGGCGGCAGGCCUAACACAUGCAAGUCGAACGAAGUCUUCGGACUUAGUGGCGGACGGGUGAGUAACACGUGGGAACGUGCCUUUAGGUUCGGAAUAACUCAGGGAAACUUGUGCUAAUACCGAAUGUGCCCUUCGGGGGAAAGAUUUAUCGCCUUUAGAGCGGCCCGCGUCUGAUUAGCUAGUUGGUGAGGUAAAGGACACCCAAGGCUACGAUCAGUAGCUGGUCUGAGAGGAUGACCAGCCACAUUGGGACUGAGACACGGCCCAAACUCCUACGAGAGGCAGCAGUGGGGAAUCUUGCGCAAUGGGCGAAAGCCUGACGCAGCCAUGCCGCGUGGAUGAUGAAGGUCUUAGGAUUGUAAAAUCCUUUCACCGGUGAAGAUAAUGACUGUAGCCGGAGAAGAAGCCCCGGCUAACUUCGUGCCAGCCGCCGCCGUAAUAC